rnacentral:misc_RNA from 1 species
GUGAGUCAUCGAAUCUUUGAACGCAUAUUGCACCUUAGAGAAUUCUUUAAGGUAUACCUGUUCGAGCGUCGUUUAGAACAAUAAAGCUAUGCUUUGUAUUGGAUUUUGAUUUGGGUUUCCAGAUCAAUUUCCCAACCACAUUGGCGUUAUUCUGAUUUGUCAAUAUACAGUGAAAAUGUGUAAAGAUGGAAAAGAAUUGACCCUAAACCUUUAUUCUCGUCACUGAGAUUAAAACCCAUAUGUUCGACCUCGAAUCAAGUAAGACUACCCGCUGAACUUAAGCAUAUCAAUAAGCGGAGG